rnacentral:rRNA from 1 species
CCUACGGGGGGCAGCAGUGGGGAAUAUUGGGCAAUGGGCGCAAGCCUGACCCAGCAACGCCGCGUGAAGGAAGAAGGCUUUCGGGUUGUAAACUUCUUUUCUCAGGGACGAAGCAAGUGACGGUACCUGAGGAAUAAGCCACGGCUAACUACGUGCCAGCAGCCGCGGUGAUACGUAGGUGGCAAGCGUUAUCCGGAUUUACUGGGUGUACAGGGCGUGUAGGCGGGAAAGCAAGUCAGAUGUGAAAACCAUGGGCCCAAACUGUGGCCUGCAUUUGAAACUGUUUUUCUUGAGUACUGGAGAGGCAGACGGAAUUCCUAGUGUAGCGGUGAAAUGCGUAGAUAUUAGGAGGAACACCAGUGGCGAAGGCGGUCUGCUGGACAGCAACUGACGCUGAGGCGCGAAAGCGUGGGGAGCAAACAGGAUUAGAUACCCGGGUAGUC